rnacentral:rRNA from 1 species
UACGUAGGGGGCAAGCGUUGUCCGGAUUUAUUGGGCGUAAAGAGCGUGUAGGCGGCCUGGUAGGUCAGCUGUGAAGACUCGAGGCUCAACCUCGAGACGCCGGUUGAAACCAUCAGGCUAGAGUCCGGAAGAGGAGAGUGGAAUUCCCGGUGUAGCGGUGAAAUGCGCAGAUAUCGGGAAGAACACCCGUGGCUAAGGCGGCUCUCUAGUACGGUACUGACGCUGAGACGCGAAAGCGUGGGGAGCGAACAGG